GCUGGUGAGGGGAGGAUCUCAACUCUGGAAGAUUCCGGAGCAUCUGGAAAAAGCCCGCAGAGGCAGAGGAGGGAGCUCCCAGGAGGCUCACAAUAUACUUGAAGGUCCACUUCUUCCGACUGUCCUGGGCCUAUUUCAUUGGAGGCCUCACACUGGUACUUCCCACUCAUCUCCUUGGUCACAGUGGACAGAGUCAGCGUGCCUGGCACCCUUGGUGCCCUCGAGGGCCGGAAGAGAAGAGACAAGACCCUCGUCCUUCCCGGGGGGGCCCUGGGGGACACUCACGCUUCACAUCCAGCCCCACGCUUUCCUCGGAGAGUAUCCGCUCUGCUCGGGGGUCCCAGAGCUGGCAGGAAAGAUUCUUGCCGUGGUGAGUCCACUGCGGCUGGAAG